rnacentral:rRNA from 1 species
AUCGAACGCUGGCGGCAGGCCUAACACAUGCAAGUCGAACGAGUGGCGGACGGGCGAGUAAUGUCUGGGAAACUGCCUGACGGAGGGGGCAAACUACUGGAAAACGUCGAUAAAACCGCAUACCAUAGGCUGUGCCCAGAUGGGAUUAGCUAGUAGGGGGGGGAAAGGCUAACCAAGGCGACGAUGCCUAGCUGGUCGGAGAGGAUGACCGGCCACACUGGAACUGAGACACUGUCCAGACUCCUACGGGAGGCAGCAGUGGUGAAUAUUGCACAAUGGGGGCAAGUCUGAUGCAGCCAUGCCGCGUGUAUGAAGAAGGCCUUCGGGUUGUAAAGUACUUUCAGCGGGGAGGCGGUACCCGCAGAGGAAGCACCGGCUAACUCCGUGCUAGCAGCCGCGGUAAUUC